rnacentral:rRNA from 1 species
UACGUAGGUGACCAGCGUUGUCCGGAUUUACUGGGCGUAAAGAGCGCGCAGGCGGUCGUUCAAGUCGGGUGUGAAAGCCCCCGGCUCAACUGGGGAGGGUCACUUGAUACUGAUCGACUCGAAGGCAGGAGAGGGAAGCGGAAUUCCCGGUGUAGUGGUGAAAUGCGUAGAUAUCGGGAGGAACACCAGUGGCGAAGGCGGCUUCCUGGCCUGUUCUUGACGCUGAGGCGCGAAAGCUAGGGGAGCAAACGGG